ACAAAGUGUUCAAUGUUCUAUGCCAUCUUAAACUUUAAUGCUUUCAUUACUACACCACAUGAAAAGCCCCUAUUCAAAAACUUGUGAUUUGGAACAUAUUGAUCUUUUCUACUAACAAGACAUAAUUUACAUGCAUUUGUAAGUGUAUCAUGUUAUGCACUUAGAAUUGAAUAUUUUAAAAAAACUACAAUUUCCAAAUCCUUGUUCGAAUGAAUUAGUUUUGAUAAGUUUUAAAGUUUGUCAUUCUUUUACCGUAGUACAAGAAUAAAAUCAGAAUCCCAAUCAUGGCCAACAUAUUAUAAGACCCACCGAAAAAGAUCAACUAGUCCAAUCAAGAGAGCAGUGACCUAACACGCAAGAAGUUGGGCACUAAGUCGUAGCGAAGUGGUAAAGUUGACAAUGAGACCAGUAAUUGAAACCCUAAAACCGAGGCAUGCAAAUGGGAGGCUCCUCCAAACCGUCUUCCGAGAUCGUUUAUGGAUGAAUGUAUUCCCACAUGAUAACGCUUACUGGAUGAACGUUCAUCUAUCUGAUACCCAAGUGGGACAAGAACCGGGCAUCAACAGACGUAAGCAAGUUGAAUUCCAAGGCCCGUUGAUGGCUUCGGCGUGGCGUGUGGCGAAGUCGGCGCGCGUCGACCUUCAUCUCACUGGGCAGGUCGCGACGAUGGCGUCGGACGCUUCGAUCCAACACGUUUGACUGUCAGCGCACGGCUAUUUUAAUCGCGAAUUUGCAGACGAAUUGGACGCCAUGUUCUGGUGAAUUUUUCGUGGAAGAUCGUGCCGUUCCGUCACUUGCAUCCCGUGCGUCCACUGCAAGACGGGGUCACGUAUCACGAGGAGCCUCGUUUCCUGAUGGUCACUACGCACGGGCCUUAGCCGGACUCUAUUGUUGCCCACGGCUACCUUUCAGGACUAAUCUCACCCCCCACUCGGAGGUGCUUCCGGAAGGUACUAUUAUCGCGCUGGAGCCGGUUAAUAGGGGGUCCUUUUGAACGAGAUCCGGCAACCUGGGCUGAAUGCCAGCUGUGGUGACGUAAGCUGUGAAAGCAUCGAGUCUCCCUGUGGUCUCACAGAAAUGCAACCAGGGAUUCGUUUACUGCACCGUAGCAAUUCCAGACUUGGGGAAGUGAUCGCCUGAAUUCCGGUGCUUUACUGCGGGUUUGGGGUUGGGGGUUGUUGGUGGGAGACUUCUUAUGUCCCGGUCAGCCGUCACGAGGGGACUUAAAUAUGUCUUCACUGGUACCGGAUUGUUUUUCUUCGACCUCUCAGGAGCGAGUUGUGAUGUAUGAUUGUUGUACCGUUUUGGCUUCAUCGGGACCAUCGACCUCUUCGCCGGGUCUGUCAACAGUCCAUGUUCUGAAUGGUUGACAGAUGUCAAUAGAUGAUUUUUCAGUAGGAGAUGGUGAGUUGACCCUCUAAGUGAUCCAUCUGACGACAGGAUAACACAGUCUGUACAAACAAUAGGUUAUACGGCAAAUUAUUGUAUCCCAGCUGCUUUUUCUCCAUGAAGUGAAAAUAUUGGGAGAAAAUUCUGAGCCCUUGAAAAAUGUCUGAAACUGACGUAGUAGAACUAUCUGUGAUCAAAUUUAUCUAUUUGUUUGUUUGUUUAUUGAAAAGUGCUCUGUGGUUUCUAAAAUACAAACCUUGAAUUAAUCUGAGGAUUCUGAAUUGGUAUCGAAGUCUUGAAAUGUAUCUGUGUACCUCACCUCA